GAAUUAAAUGGCCGCGGUACUUUGACCGUGCAAAGGUAGCAUAAUAAUUAGUUUUUUAAUUGAAAGCUGGAAUGAAUGAUUGGACGAGAAAAUUACUGUCUCAAUUUAAUUUUAUUAGAAUUUUAUUUUUAAGUAAAAAAGCUUAAAUUAUAUUAAAAGACGAGAAGACCCUAUAGAGUUUUAUAUUUAAUUUAUUAUUAAUUUUUUAGUAUAUUUUUAUUAUUAUUAAAUUAAAUAUUUUAUUGGGGUGAUAGAAAAAUAUUAUAAACUUUUUUUUAAAAAAAAACAUUAAUUUAUGAUUUUAUGAUCCAUUAUUUAUGAUUAAAAGAAUUAGUUACCUUAGGGAUAACAGCGUAAUUUUUUUUUAGAGUUCUUAUCGAAAAAUAAGAUUGCGACCUCGAUGUUGGAUUAAAAUUAAUAUUUGGUGGAGAAGCUGGAUAAUUAGGUCUGUUCGACCUUUAAAAUUUUACA
rnacentral:rRNA from 1 species